UGAAAGGUGCUUACAGCGAGAGUGGGGCUGGUCUCUUCUCAGUGCUGGCAGGUGACAGGAUGAAGGGAAACAGCCUGAAGUUGUGCCAGGGAUAAAGAGGAUAAUAACCGUACCAGCUUCACCAACCCAUGGAGAGAACAGCUGAAGAGAGCCUGUGAAAUUGCUAUGAUGAAUAGCAGAAGAAGGGAAGGUUUCUUGCAGUGAGAGAGAUCUGAGCAGCACUUCAGGCUGGAAGGCAAAAGUUGCUCUGAAAAGGCUGCAUCCUGACUCUCCCACAUCCUUGUAUUUUAUCUUGGUCAAUGAUGUACAUCCUUGUAAAAAGUAGGUUAAAUAUUUCUGUGGUUAAAUGUCACCUGGCUUGGUGGACGCAGAAGGCUCACGUAUAGGGCUGGUAGGAGUGAGUCACCUCAUAAGUUGCAGUCCCUGCUGCUCCCCCUCGUCUAGACCUGUUCUCAUCCUAAACCUAGCAAGGUCCUGUCACUGGAUUCACUUAAAACGUGGAACGGAGAGUUCCUGCUAUAGCAUCCUGUACUUGUAUUCUGCAAACAGCAGCUCUGCACAGGGACUGUGUUCCCUGGCUGCAGUUGCUUAUUCUCAGACUCCUCUGAGACUUAAUAGAGUGUUUCACAUUUAAUUUUGGAGGUCUGAACAAUCCUACUGCUCGGAUCUUGUAAGAUAAACAGGGUUGGACCUGGUUAGUUAUUGGAUGGGGUCACCUCCAAGGAAAACACAGGUGCUAGCCUGCAGGAAGUGCGAUGGUGAUUCAGAGGUGGCUCUGAUCCCUCCGUGCCUCUCGUGCCAGAAUGCAGCACUGGCAGGGAUGACUUCUUCCAAAGGUCAGGGCAGGAUGAAAAACCACCGCCUCUUUAUUUUGUUUACAGGGGCAUGGGAGAAAUUUCCUACCCUAGAAAUGGGGCACGUCUGAUGCGAUUAAAAAGUCAGCAGAUUUUUACUUCUUUGUAACUGGGAACUGACCUCUGAAAAGAUCACACCUAUGGUAUUCCAGGAGGCCCUUUGUCCUUACUGCACAAAAUCCCAGUUCUUUCAUAGUCCUGCCUAAAGGGAGUCAGUUCUGCUCUACAAGUGAAGAAUGUUCCUUUUGUCACACUUUCACAUAGUAGAUUGGCUUAGAAUGGAAUUCUCUCUUUUCACUAUGUUAGAAUGUUUGCACUUUAGUUAUCUUGGGUCAAAAUUCCUUUGAGCUCAGAAACUUAAGUUUCCUAAUAGCACUGAAUGAGAGUUCUUAUAACAGGUACAUUUCUACCUCUUUGGACUCAGCCAUGUAUCUUACACCUGGCUCAAAAUUUCAGUUCUCUAAAUGAUGCUGUGGCUUAUCCUGCUCUAAAACUAGCCAAUGAUCUCAUGGACAUCAAAGCUACUCAUUUGAAAUAACAUCCUUCUCCAUGCCUUUUUAUAAUAAAAUGCCUUAAGGCGAAAUCUAUCUUUAGGAUAGAUUUUGCCUCAUAAGAAUAGAGAACUCUUUUUUUCAGAAGAAUUAUUGUUGUUCUCAGUUGUGUUACUAUGGUCUAUUGACCAGGGAUUUAUUGUGUCUUUAUUUGGGACUGAACUGAAUGCACACUUCAUUAUAAUGUUGAGGCACUUUUCAUCACAGACUUACUGAUGUCUGUAGUCUCAACAGAGUGAAACAGUGCUAAGUAUUUUCUAAAAUGAAGUCAAGUGAAUGCAAAGCAUAUGCUUAAUGGAGUGCCUGCCUAAAUGUUGUCCCAAAAGAAGGAUAGAUUUCUCAUCCUUAAGCAUUUUGCAUUAAAUCAUAUGGGAUAAAAUUCAAGAUUCAUUUCAAUGAAUCAAUCAACUCAAUAUGAAUUAGCUCUUUGCUGAUCAACCAUGGAUGGUGCUUUCCAUUCAGACCUGCUCUGGGCUGCUCCAUUUCAUUGGCAGCUUGUUUUGGCUAGUCCUGGAGUACUUUACAUAUACUUUUGCCAAUUGCAGUUGGAAUUGUCACUUGCUUUUUGAGGGGAGAAGCGGGGAGCAAAUACAGUUUCUAGAUUUUUGUGGGUUUUGGCAUCUUCAUGACAGUUUUACUGAGCUUGCACAUAUUAUGCUCUUGCUGACAUUUCCUCCUUUUGAAGUCAUUAAAACCAAUUUGAUAUUUAUAAAUAAAAUGUCCUAAUGCAUCU
ensembl:lncRNA